UUCUACCAUCCGAUCAACAA
rnacentral:snRNA from 1 species